UCGGGUUGUCAUGCCAAUGGCACUGCCCGGUAGCUAAAUGCGGAAGAGAUAAGUGCUGAAAGCAUCUAAGCACGAAACUUGCCCCGAGAUGAGUUCUCCCUGACUCCUUGAGAGUCCUGAAGGAACGUUGAAGACGACGACGUUGAUAGGCCGGGUGUGUAAGCGCAGCGAUGCGUUGAGCUAACCGGUACUAAUGAACCGUGAGGCUUAACCUUACAACGCCGAAUGUGUUU
rnacentral:rRNA from 1 species